rnacentral:lncRNA from 1 species
AACACGAUUACUGGUCCACCUAGAAAUGCCGUGGAGCGAUUUAAGAGCCUCGGAAAUUUCCUUUAAGGUCAGGAGAGAAGCUGGUAACAGAUGGGGCGAAGGAGGAAAAGUUCUUUUUGCGGCACCCUCACGCCUUCCCAGCCCUUUCGCGGUUUACUCGCUCCCCGGAAAGCAGACUAGUCUCACUCUGUUGCCCAGGCUGGAGUGCAGUGGCGCGAUCUCAGCUUACUUCAGCCUCCGCCUCCCGGUUUCAAGUGAAUUCUCCAGCCUCAACUUCACAAGUAGCUGGGAUUACAGGGCAUUCAAGCAGCCCUGAGGAGAGGUCCACAUGGUGAGCCACUGAGGGCCUUGCCAAGAGCCAGCACCAACGGUCCAGGUUUGGAGUGUACCACCUUGGAAGUGAAUCUUCCAGUCCAGUCAAGCCUUCAGAUGACUUCAGAACCGUCCAUGUAAGCCACUCUUGGAUUCCUGACCCACAGAAACUGUUGGAGACAGACAAACAUGUGCCUCCUGAUUGAAAAAACAGAACAUCACCUGUAGUCUUGCCAGUGAGAUCAAACUGAAGUCCAAUUAACCUCUGGAUCCAGCUGCCAAUUUGCAGGAAAUAGAGGAGAGAAGCAUCUGUUGAACUGCACCAUGAGUAUACACUCAGCAAAGGCCAAACUGUGGAAAAUGAUACAGGUCAAACAGCCUGGAUUCUUUAACAGUAAGUGAUGUUUCUGAAGCACCAAUGAAAAUGAAGUCCUGAAGUCCUGUGCUCAAUAUGAAAUGUUGGAAGUUAGAAGAAAAAAACAAAACUUGGAUCCAAUCUCAAGGCACUUUUUGUUUAAUGGGAAGAAGUGGAUUAUUUUAAAAGCUACAAAUAAAGUUACAUAAAAGUA